CGUGAAUGUGACACCUACAACCUGACCAGCCAGGCAGAGAAUGAGGACGAUGAGGUGAUUAGAUUGAUGAGGAAGCAAACUAAAAAAAAGGAAUACCAGAGGGUUUUGUUGGAAAUGAAUUAACAGAUUCGGAUGAGGAGUGUGUCAGGGGUGUCAAGCUAUCCACCUUCCCUACUGCACCAAGGAAGCUGCAGCCCAUUGAGGACACCAACAUGUUGCACAAUACUU